UAGGGAAUCAUCCACAAUGGGCGAAAGCCUGAUGGAGCAACGCCGCGUGUGUGACGAAGGGUUUCGGCUCGUAAAACACUGUUGUAAGAGAAGAAUGACAUUGAGAGUAACUGUUCAAUGUGUGACGGUAUCUUACCAGAAAGGAACGGCUAAAUACGUGCCAG
rnacentral:rRNA from 1 species